GGUGGCGGUAGCCUAGUGGCUAUGGCUGCUGACUCACGUUCAUCGAGCCUCGGGUUCAAGCCUCGAUGCCACUA